rnacentral:rRNA from 1 species
GACGGAGGGUGCAAGCGUUAAUCGGAUUUAUUGGGCGUAAAGGGCGCGUAGGCGGGGAUAUAAGUCAGAUGUGAAAUCCCGGGGCUCAACUCCGGAACGGCAUUUGAAGCUGUAUUCCUUGAGGGUAGAAGGAGAGAACGGAAUUCCACGUGUAGCGGUGAAAUGCGUAGAUAUGUGGAAGAACACCGGAGGCGAAGGCGGUUCUCUAUUUUAUUCCUGACGCUGAGGCGCGAAAGCAAGGGGAUCAAACAG